UCCGCCUUAUGGCGGCAGUCUCCCCAGAGUGCCCGGCUUCACCCGAUGGCAACUAAGGAUAAGGGUUGCGCUCGUUGCGGGACUUAACCCAACACCUCACGGCACGAGCUGACGACAACCAUGCAGCACCUGUCCACAGGCCUCUUGCGAGGCGCAUACAUCUCUGCAUGCUUCCUGUGAAUUUCAAACCCGGGUAAGGUUCUUCGCGUAGCGUCGAAUUAAACCACAUGCUCCACCACUUGUGCGGGCCCCCGUCAAUUCCUUUGAGUUUCAACCUUGCGGCCGUACUCCCCAGGCGGGAUACUUAUUGCGUUAGCUGCGGCACAGAAGGGGUCAAUACCUCCUACACCUAGUAUCCAUCGUUUACAGCAACAGGACUA
rnacentral:misc_RNA from 1 species